AAGUGUACAAAUAUGGGAACUGUUUGAUCAUGGGGAUCCUUUGUUUGUUGAAGAAGAAGCUGGUGGAAUUCUAGGAAAGCGAUGUGGAGGUGGGAAAGGGAAUGGAGGGAGUGGAAAUGGGAAAGCUGGUGGUGGGGGUGAGGGAGUCAAGCCUGGUAUGGGUGGGAGGUUAAUCAAUGGAGGUGGAGACUGAAAGGGGUUGGGAGGAAGGAGGGGAGGAGGCUGAAAUGGGUUGGGGGGCAAUGGAACAAUGGAGGCAGGAGGAGGCGAUGGUAUGAGUGGAGGGAAGAAAAACUCAGGAUGGGCUGGUUUUUGAUUCAGCAGUUGAGGUGCAUUCAUGGAGGAUUGAGGUAGUUUGGACUGGGGUUUAGGUGGAAACUUUGGUAGGCCAGGGAGGGGUGGGAGUGGUGGAAGCGUGGGAAGUAGAGGAAGCGGUGGGAAAUAGUACUGAUUUGUGGGUGGAAGGUCUGGGGUUUGAAUUGGUGGUGGGAAUUGGAUUGGAUCAUUAGGAGGAUAUAAAGAUUUUAUGGAACCCAGUUGCUUUGAGUUUCCCACGCUUGGUUUCUG
rnacentral:lncRNA from 1 species